CUGUAUGAAAUGAAACUGUUGAUUUUGAGGUCUGAUUUUCUCACUUGUGUAUAUGUUCUGGUAAUUUAUGCUUUCUUGGUUGUCCGUGCACUUGCAAAAUUGAGCUUGGUUAAUAAGAUAUUGCAAAUAUUUUGAUCUUUGUAGAGGUUGUAAGCUUCUUGGCCAACUUUUAGGAAAGGAGAACCGUCAAUCAUCUUUUUGAAUGAAAUAAAAAAAAAAAAGUAAUUAUAAACUUCAACCACAUCUAUCCUUACCCUGUUAUGAAAAUGGAAUGGCCCUAUGGGGCUUUGUAGUAAGCAUUUAUAAUUUUGUAGUUACUAAGGCAACUUAAAAAAGGAACAUUCCUUGUGUUCUUUUCUACAGUGUUUAAGGUUAUGUUCUUGCUAUAAGUAUUUGGAAGGAGACCCAGAGCUCCUCACUGAUGUUAUGAGAAUUCCUAGGAGUUAUCUACCCUGCUCACUCUGGAAAGGGAAAAACUAGCAGGAGAAAAUUCCUAGAAAAGUUGUAUAGUGCUUUCAUUAAACCCCUACCUGGUUUCUUAGGGGGUUGAUAUUGCAUUCUGAGUUUCAAUUACUUUGGUUUCAUUUAAGGUGAUUUAAUAGUCGCCGAGUCAGAUACAGCUAAGUGGCCAAUUGUUUUAUCAGCAGAUUGUUUUCUUGAAGUUUUGGAGAGAGGUUUAUUGGUUUUGUAUAUUUAUUUGUAUUAUUGUGGUAAGACAGACUUGUUACUUUCUAGUUCCUGUUGAACUUUAAAUCAAAAUUUAUGCAUCAGUUACAAUAAUCUGUUUCACCUUUUUUGCUUUAUUUUUGAGUAAUUAUGUAUAUGCAUAUAUUGCAAUAUAUCAAAAGGUGUAGGUUGCAUUCAUAAUGGAGAUGAUUCACAGCUGUGGUUACUGGGUAGAUAAACUAAAUUUAUGUUAGUUUAUGAUCAUUCUGACUAAAUUCAGAAGCCAUAACCUUUUUGAUCUAUUUCAUAAAUAAAGUUGAGUAUCCUACUUAUGUUAUCUGCAUGCUAAUAUCAUAAAAAAUGUUAUUUGCAACUUAAUUUGAACACUAAUAAUUGGUGUCUAGAAAAAUAUUAAGCGAAUUUAGUUUUUAAUCAUUUCCACAAUGAUUUCAUUUUUUUUUCCUUUAUUUGGUACAUUUGGAAAUUCACAAUUCUCAAGAAUUUGAACAGUUGUGAAUUGUUUUAACAAUCAAAUUUUUUAACUACAAGUAAAAGAUUUGCAUUCUGAUAAAAUCUUCAGUCUCAUUAAUAUUUAGGGAUGGAUAGGUAGGGUGUUGGGACUUGGGAGGGUGGGACUUCCAGUUUUUCUAGGCUUUUGUUCCCAAACCUAGGAGACCUUUCCCAAUCGGAUGAUAACUGAUUUUUGUACUCUAGCACUUCCUAUAAUUGAUCUAAGAGGCCUUGUGUAAUGGCACCAAAUUUGCUUUCCUAAUCUAUAUGCAAGAGGGGAAGCAUUCCAUUGUAUAACAUGUCUGCUUGCAAGUCAAAAAGUGUUAAAGAUCUUUGGUUACAUUUGGUACAACAUGAUGUAUUGGAAAGAAUGUAAUCAAGUACGUAAUUGAAUUAAAGUUGUAAUGUAAUGCAAUAUAUUAAGCAUUACAUUAAGAAGAAAAAAAAGCAAUGUAAUUACCAUUACAAUAUCAUGUAUAUAUACUAUAUAUAUCACCAAGUGGUGGUGGCGGCGGCGGUGACGGCGACGAUGGCUAAGUGGUGCUGAUAAUGUUGGUGGUAGUGACGAUGGUGUUUAGGUAGCGGUGGCGAUGGCGGUAAUAGGAUGGGGGUCAUGGUCGUGGCGAGGUGGUGACGGCGGCGGUGGCUAAGCGGUAGUGGUGACAAUAGUGGUUAGGAGGUGGUAGUAGCGGAGGUGAUUGAGUGGUGGUGAUGAUAGUGUUGACCAUAAAUAAAUAAAAUAAAAAUAAAAAAUCUCAACUCUGAAAGGAAAAGUCAUAACAACUCAAAGAAAUUCCAUUAUCAAUGCAGGAUUAGCUAGGCAUAUGUAAUAGAAUUAGAAACAUAUCUCUUUAUGCUACCAGAACUUUAAGCCUGUAAGUAUAACUGUUGUAAUAGUAUUAUUCCUUUCUUCAAAUGGAGAAGGUGGGAAUAUCUUGAUCAAAAGCUCUCCUGUUGAGAAUAGUAAGAAAGAGUUUUAUAAAUUCAAUCAAAAUGGUCAAGAAAAUCACCACCUUUUAGUUUCACAUACUGAUUAAAGAUUAGUCCAGAAAAUUGGGUUUUAAACUAUACACUGAACAUUCUGCAUUGCUACUCCAAAGAACCUUGAGCAAUUUACAGCAUUGUAUAUGAUAAACAUCAUAUUCUCUUUUGUUGUUACCAAUAACCCACAUAAUGCACUGAACAAAAUAAACACUUCAACUGUUAACAAGAAAAAGGGAAGAAUACCUGCAUUACCCAUCCCCUAAUAAGGAUAGAUAUGCAGAGAAAAAAAAAAGAGUAAAAUUGUGGCAGUGCAGAAUCAUAUGUCUAGAAAGAAACACAUUCAGAUUCCAUUGCAACUACAUCUACCUCACAAUAAACAUGAGUGCAUUCCAUCCUAAAAUAUAUUACUAAGAUUCCAAUCAUUGAUGAUCAAGGCAAGUCUAAUAAUGUUCUAAAUCUUAUUUUCAACUCAUCAUAUUUCCAUAAGCAACAAUGCCAAAAAUUAAUCCAAUAUCAAUAACCUAUCAGAUAAAAUGAACUGCAAAAAGAUUUUAUUUUUGAACAAAUGACUAACAAUUGAAGUGCU
rnacentral:misc_RNA from 1 species